GGGGUUUGCAGUAACAGUUUACUUCUUUCCUGUAUUUCUCCACCGAUAUGAUAAGGCAGGCCACAGUUGGCGAAUGAAACAAAAUUACCCCGUUCCAGUAUAAUAAUUUCAGCCUCUUCACUCAGGCGCCGGGCCCGGGCAGCGGCAGAUGCGCCACCGGCUACACCAC
rnacentral:antisense_RNA from 1 species